UUACUUUUGAAUGGGAAACAGCUGGAAAUAACAGUCGAAAUUAAGCCAUUAUUAAAUGCAGUGGUCAGUUUCAAAUUGGUGAGAUAAAAUUUCCUUUUUCACUUUUCCUUUUCUUUUUAACAUUUUUUUUUCUUGUUUUAGCAAGGCAAGUGACUUCUGCUUUUAUGGUAUUAUGGUGUUUAAGUGAAAUUCUUAAAUGUGUUUUAUUUCUGAUCUAAGUCUUUUCUGCUGAGCAUGUUCUGCAAUAUUUAUGUGCUGGUUGUAAUUCUGCCAAUACAUCAGAGUUUUGAUUUUGAUAUAAGUAUUAGGUCAAUUUUUUUUUUUUAAUAUUGUUUUUUAAACUGAGUAGGACACAAAAUCUGCCUGACUUUUAUUGAACCCUCUACAUCAUAUAACUUGAUUCUAUGUUAACUCAGCUCUUUUCCAUAUCAGCUCAGGUGAUAAAGUGCAAGGAGUACAUGCAAAGAGACACAAAUUCAAGCUCUGGAGCUAGUUAAUUCAGUACCAGCUGAAGGACUGCAGCUUGAUCAUGCAUAAUGUCCAUGCAAACAUGUCAACGAUCUGCUAAAUGACUUCUGAAAUGAAAAUAGUGGUUCCCCAGUGCCACAGGCUGUUUGAAACAUUCUCAAGUGAAAACUGGAACCUGUGGGCAGGCAUCUAUCAGUCAUGACCUGUGGUGCCAGAUUACUCUCCUUUCCUGGUUGUCUCUUAGACAUGAAGCAAAAACAGAUACAAAUACGAAGAGAACAGCUGCUCCAGUUGUAGAGCUAUAACGACACACUUUAGUAAUUCCAUUACCUAUUGGCUCUAAAACUUGUUCUUGCACAGA
rnacentral:lncRNA from 1 species